GGUCAUAUCUCAGUGGUAGAGACUCUGCUUUGGAUGCAGAAGGUCCCAGAGUCAAUCUUCAGCAGCAUCU